rnacentral:lncRNA from 1 species
AAGUCUAGCUCCUGGUACAAUUUCCUCCGCCUUCCCUUUUUUCUUUGAUUAAUUCUGUGAUUCCAUUACCUCACUCAUCUGCUUUUGCCUUUUUGAUUGCAGUAACAGCUUCCAACAUGCUGUCCAUCGAGCAGAAGCUAACGGCUUCAUGGACUGCCAACAGGAGAACUUACCGCAGAUGCUAAACAGUGGUGACCAACAAAUCGGACAAGAUGCUGAAAUAUGUCAACCUAUCGAUCUCCAAGCUCUACGGUCCUCUGUGGGGACUAACCAAGUCCAGCAACUCGGACGUGUUCCCUUCCUGGAUCUAAUCCUUACAUUCAGGGAAGAGCCUCGGGUUUGUGUACAUCCAUACUUUGCCUCUAGUGGGCAUCUCCAUUCUCAAGCUACACUUUGGCAUAGGAAGAUACUCCAGCUUCAUAUGUAAUUGCACAGUUUUUCUGGGUUUCAGGGAUGUAAAGAAUUGUGCAGCAAUACCUAUUGGAUAUGGCCUUGGAAAGUUCUCGCUUUCUUUCUUUUCAAAAAUUUUCGUCUUCGCUUCAUGACGUCGGAACCUGCUUCCAAGCUGAAUAAGGGUGAAGAUCGGAGGACGAAAGGAGUGAAGAGACAUUAUAAAAUGAGUGCUAUCCUCUUUCCCCUCAACUUCGCUGGUUAAAAGAGAAAGAGUCUGAGAUGUGCCGCAGCAAAGAUGGUUUGCUGAGGAGUGAGAAAAGAAAGGGCUUCCUUAGAGUUCGUGGGGUCCCUUUUGUUUCUUGAAUUUUUUUCCUUCUUGUGAUGGUGUUGUUAAAAAGCUUUGCAACAAUUUCUGUGUUUGUUAGUGUUAAAAUGUUUAGAUGUGUGUGCUGCGGAAGCAUGGUUUUGGUAUUAGUUAUAGCUUUUGAUUAGUGAUGUGUGCAAGUGUAUGGUAUAUUUUGUAGAGGAUGGACAAAGGACAAGAUAGGAUAAUUGAAGGACAAAGAACAUAGGAUAUAAUUUAUCAAAUUGAUGAAAAUAGAUAGUACAAAAUAUUUUGAUAUAAUGGAGGAAUAUUUCAUAAAAUAGGAAUCAUCUUAACUCUACUCCUCCACAUACGGUGGAGGUCUAAACCUCACACCUCAAAUGAUGAACUACAAGGCUAUUUAUAGGUGUAAGUCACCACCUUAGAAGAUUCUAGACUUCUCUAACAUGCUGGAAAUUUUCAGCCACAAUUUUUUAACCAUCCAAAACUUCAUCUAGAGAAUUCUAGAUUGUAGUUUAGCAACUCUAGGAAAUUCUAGAAAAUGGAUCAGUAUUUCCAACAGUUAGGAUAUAGCCUUCUACAAAACAGUUGUAUCUAUUCGGUUUUUGAAGAAUUUAAGGUAUAAAAGUAGACUUUUGCUCAUUUGGAGAGAGCUCUUCCCAUGUUGACUUUAUUCAUGACUUUCGUGCACUCUUUACUUUCUUUUUUUCAUUAUGCACGCAAAGGAUCUGUAUAUCGGAUAGUAAGGUCAGCUCUACACAAUCUGUUUUCAUUAUCUUUUGUAGUUGGGAACCACUCGUACCUCGACCUCAACAUUCUCAAGUUCACCAAUUGAACAAGUCUGGCGUACCAUCGAAAAGCAGUAAGCUCAAGUGGACUCCAACUAAUGGACGGAUACAGAGUAUCUAUCACAAGUAGAGAUUAAUACAACGUUGAUGUUGUAAUUGUCAAUAUUGGGAAUAAAAAGUUCAUCAUUUGAGGCAUAAACAAUAAACACCACAAAGCAAUGACGUGGAGGAUCUGGCAUUUUAAUACCGACUAGAAGUCCGUACAAUAGAUUAUACAAGAUGAACAUUGAUUAGCCCAACACUGGCCAUAAAGAAACAUUCUCAGUUGCACAAUACCUAUUUACAUUUUACUUGUUUGGUUUCUUCAACUCAACCAUAAUCACAAUGAUAUUGUCUUGGCUAUCUCGAGCCAUGGCCAGUUUGGCUAGCACUGCAGCCACCUCGACAGCAUUACUUCCUCUCAGCUCCUCAGGGAACCUCCUCUUUAUAUAUCUGUCAAGGCACCUCCUCACAACUUGGCAGGCAUCCUCAUUAGAGAGCGCAUCCCAUAACCCAUCGCUUACUAUCACGAGGAAGUCGUCCAACUCUGUUCUCUUGCUUACCGUGUCCUCUGGCUCAGCCAUCACGUAUUGCUUUAAACAAUAAUCUCCUGCAGCAAGUAAAUGCCACUAUCAGAUACAGACACCACACAAUGGCACACGUACAAGAGAAAAAGCCAGUCUCCAGCUAAAACUUCUGCAUGAGAGGUGUUGGUUAUUGAUCCCUAUUUGUAAUUUGCCCUAAACAUUGUCUCUUGUACAUGUCGAAAGGCUGAAGUUACCAAUUCUAAGGUGCACUCAAACAACUUGUUAACAAACUAGAAUCUCAGUGAUUCAAUAUGUUCCCUUCAAGCACAGAGGUUCAGCACCACAAUAGUACUAAUGCUAACCACAAAUUCGACUUACUCAGCACUUGCUGAAGUAACCAAUGCAAUUGGAAACCAACAUUCCAUGCAUAAAAGCAUCGAAUAUAGUCCAUCAUUAGCGCCAUUUGAUUGAUAAAGUUCCACAUACCCAUUGGCCUCAAUGUAGCAAGCACGCCUAGGACACGGGAUCCAUUCCAAUCUAUGACCCUUCCUCUAGCUGCUUCCACUCUCCUUCUCAGCAAGCCUGUUAGGUUAUUCAAGGGAGUCAAUAAGCCAUUUUAAUCGAAAUCCAAGAGAUUUAACUCAAGAUAUGAUGCAUGACAGGACAUAACUGUUUUCACUUUAGCUCAAGUAAUUUAGUCUGCUACUGAUCUAGCAUUGGCAACUAAUCGAGUAUCUACUGUGACAAAUGCUAUAAAGAUGUUGCUCAGGAAAAUCUUGCCACCUUUCAAACUGUACCAUUUCAAUAUGAAGAUGACUUUACUCGCUUUCACUGGCUGAAGACCUUGUUACUGUUUCAAUAUCAGAAAAUAGACAUGUCAUCGAAGAAGAGAUGGUAUAAAAGUAUUGGCAAGAGCUUUUUGGAUUCAUUUAUCAACCUGGUAACAUGCCAUAUUGCGACGGGGUGCCGCUAGCUAUCACCCGUUUGUGGCGACUUGAAGUGAUUUUAGCAGUGUUCAAUCGAAGAAUUGCAGAAUGAACAAAGCGUCGCUGACCACAAAAGAUCACAGGGACAAAUUCUAGUUCACUGAUUAAACCAACAGGGCAAGAUGGGCUUCGGCCUGUCUACAUAACCAUGGACAAAAAACAAAGAAUGGCAGAGUGUAGUAAGUUCCCCUAAUCAUAGGAUGUCAACCCUGCAAAGCAUGACCCCAAAGUCAACCUAAUCUUAAUCAGACAUUCUAGGAAUAUCUUGCACAUGCUUUCAUAUAAAACCAACACCAUAAGAUAAAUUAAGCACCUUUGAAAGAACACCAAGUGAACUUUGACCCUGAUACACAUCUUUGAGCCUAACAAUAUUUCAUUUAUCGACUUAUGAACCAAGUCUACGUUACGUCCCUUGCAAAGUCUCUUUUGAUUAGGGCACUUGAAUUAACGUAGAGGUUCACAUGUCUUAAGUAUCGCUCAAAGAAAUGCGGGCAAGAUUAUUUCUUUCUCAUUUUGCAUGAUUCUUGACUUGUAAACCCGGAAAUGACUGCGGAGUUGUUCUUUCAAUAGCCUUGACUCAAAGAGUCCAUUAGUUAAGCCAUUGACCAAGCUCACGUUACGGUCCCUGUUAAAGACCCCUCAGAUUGGUAAAGUCGUACCGCUUGUAAGAAUACUCGGACCCAUGUCGAUAUGGUGAGAUGGAGUGAUUCUCAUAGCCCUUCUAAAUGAGAGUAAGUGAAAGUUCUUUCUAAUUGAAAGUCUCUCAUUUAGUAUUCUUAGGAAAUCCAUGUCAUGAGUGAAAAUUGUCAUGAACAAUAAUUUUCUCCAGUGGAAAUUUGGGUGAUGCAAAUGUCAUUAUGCAUGAAUCCUGAUUGAAUUGAUAAAAAUUUCAGUGUAUUUUGAAAUGUUCAUUCCAGAAUAGCCUUAAUAGCUUAUUUCUUUGGUGAAUGCACUUUUGCUCUAAUCAUGUCUGACAAGUAAUGUUUUCUCAAAGAUCCAAGAGUUCCUAACAUUCAGGUUCCUUUCAAAAUGCCUCAUGAUAUUAGGAGAUGAGAAACAUUCACGAACAUUCAAGGUGCAUUCUUGAUGUUCCAAAAUUUAUUUCUAGCAGGAGGUAAAAGUCCUACACAGGAUAUCUAAACUUUCAGAAGACAUAUCCCUAAGAAUAAGAGAUAUCACAAGGUAAGUAUAUCUCUACCCAUACUCUAAAUACUUGUCAUUGUGCAUGUAUUCUCUCUCAAGUACAUUGACACUUGACUUGGUCAAGCUGUCCUCUAUAUUGACCCGGCGUGCUUUCAUAGCCUAGAGUCCUUUUCAUCGACUCGGCGUGCUUCUGUAGCCCGGUGUCCUUUAUAUUGACCUAGCGUGCUUUCAUAGCCUAGAGUCCCUUUCAUCGAUCCGGCGUGCUUCUAUAGCCCGGUGUUCUUUAUAUUGACCUAGUGUGCUUUUGUAGCCCAGAGUCCCUUUCAUCAACUCAGCGUGUUUCCGUAGCCCAAUGUUCUUUAUAUUGACCUGGCGUGCUUUUGUAGCUCAGAGUCCCUUUUAUCGACUCGGCGUGCUUUCAUAGUCCGGUGUCCUUUAUAUUAACAUGGCAUGCUUUCGUAGCCCAGAGUCCCUUUCAUUGACCCAGCGUGCUUCCGUAACUCGGUGUCCUUUAUAUUGGCCUUGCAUGCGUUCAUAGCCCAAAGUCUCUUUCAUCGACCCGACGUGCUUCCGGAGCUCGGUGUCCUUUAUAUUGACCUGGCGUGCUUUCGUAGCCCAGAGUCCCUUUCAUCGACCUGACGUGCUUUCGUAGCCCAAUGUCCUUUAUAUUGACCCGGCGUGCUUUCGUAGAUUAGAGUCCCUUUCAUCGAUCCGACGUGCUUCCGUAGCCCGGAAUCUUUUUCAUCGACUCGGCGUGCUUCUAUAGCUUGAGUUCCUUUUUAGAAAUUAAGAGUCUGUGGAUUUCACCAAAAUCUUUCAAUCCGUUUUUGACAUCUCAAUUUGGAUCUGAAUGUCACAAAAUAUUUUCAUGUAAACAUUUCACUCUAGAUGUGAAUAUUAUACCUUUGUUUGGAUCUAGGUAUUUCGAGUUCCAAAAUAUUAACAUCUCAUUUAGGCGACCGUAGAAAGGUACAGGUCCUAGACAGUAUAUUUGUAGCUUUAACAAGCGACCUUAGAAAGGUAUGGGUCCUAGAAAGGCUAUUUACCAUGCAGGCGACUGUAGGUAUAGGUCCUGGAAAGCUGUUCCUCGUUUAGGCGACCGUAGAAUGGUACGAGUCCUAGGCAAUAGUUGUUUCCUGUUUAGGCGAUCGUAGGAUGGUAGGGGUUCUAGACAACGUUUGUUGCUCUAACAGGCAACCAUAAAAAGGUACGGGUCUUGAUAGAAGCAAUUUUUCCGUCAAGGUGACCGGAGAAAGGUUCGGGUCCUAGACAACAAAAAACUGUCAUACUGGGCGAUUGUAAAAAGGUACAGGUCCUAGGAUGACAGUCUAUUUACAAAGCCUGGUGAUUAUCUGGGCGACCGUAGAAAGGUACGAGUCCUAGACAUGUAAUACCAGUUAUCUUGAAUUAUUUUACAAUUCUCAAAAGUAAGUUAUUCCAGGUAGGUUCAUUUAUUAUUUGCAUUAACAUUUCCAUGCAUCAAAUAAAUUGCAUUUCAAAAUGGAAUUUAUUUUCCAUAAAAGAAAAUAAUUUAGUGCAUGUGCAUAGUCAAAAUUUAGGUCUCAAUUUGUCUUUGAAGGCAACCUCUACGAACUCACCUUCAAAGAGGGGCAGCUGUUAACACCUAAAUUUUGAUAACCUGACCAUUUAUUUAUUGUAUAGAAAAUUAGAGAUAAAUCUUUAACCCCUAAAAAAAUAUAUAUCAAAAUUGCAUUGUGCAUUUGCAUCAGACCGAUGGUAGAAUAUUUCAAGAUAUUCUAUGGGCAACAGGAAAAAGAAAGCGCAGGAAUUGAGAGACAAAAUGGAGGAAAGAAAUUAAGGCAUUUGUGAAAAGUGUGGGUUGCUAGAAUUUAUAAAAGGAACGCCCAUCCGGCCAUAUUCGCAAGAAAAAGAGAGGAAGCCGGCCUAUGAAUUGUGAAUGGAGAUGAGCGAAUGUGGACACGUUCAAGGCAAUAUGAGCAGAAGUAGAAAAUGAAACCAAAAGAUUGUGAGUGCUAAUUUAGAAGUAAAUUAGAGAGAUCAAUUUUUGGUGACAAAUCAAAGCCAAAACUCAGCAAUUUCCUAAGAAUCAUCAAUCGGUUCCACGGAUCCAGACUUUCCAACUAUACGUGGGAGAUUUUGCACACCCUCAGAUAGAACCCGGGGGGGGGGGGCGGAAAAUUCAUGCGAGGAAGAAAAAGAAUUCAUGCAAGAGAGAGUGCAAAGAGAGAGAGAAAAAAAAGAAGAAGAGAGGAAUUCCCGCCCCCCCGAUCCAAAAAGGUCAAAAGGAAAAUGUAAUUUCUUUUCUUCUCUGACAACCUGCACAAGAAAAGAAAGGAGAGGUCAGUAAGAAGGGAAAAGUCCACAGCAAAGUACAGAGAGAGGGGGAGGGGACAUGAGAGAGACGUAAAAAAAAAAAAAAAGAGGAAAAGGAAAAAGAAACAGAAAAAGAAGGAAGACAGGCCCCCGUCGUUCACUCGCCACUGUCCCCCUUCCGGCGACGCAGCGCCUGACGCCCUGUAGCACCACCAGAGCCCGACGCCGGGAGGGAAGACGCCGCCAUUGCUGCUUCCAUGUCGUCCUCCGCUAGCAGCGCCACCACCAUCGUUCGCUCCCUCACCCGUCGGCCCGCAAUAUGUUGUUCGUGCCUCACCGUGCUCCUGCCCUCGCCAAUGCCGCUAGCUCACCACCGCCUGUCCCUGCUUCGCCCGAUACUUUACUUCUCGACGACCGUGCCUGCAGCGCCCACAACCCAACAUCAGCAGCCUGCGCUACCUCCGCGCCUUUGAACGUCGCCCUUGCCCCCGCUCCGCCUGGCGUCCAACGACCGUGCUCCUGCCCUCGCCAGAGCUCCGAUGUCGACCAUCCGACCUCCCCGUCGCCGUGUACACCCCCCAUCGCGCUGUUGUCCUCCCUGCACUUUUCCCUUAGGUAGUUUGUUUUUUUUGUUUUUGUUUUUUUGUUUGUUUUUUUUUUCAUUUAUUUUUUUUAUUUAUUUUACUUAUUUUUUUAGCUUAGCUAUUUAAAUUGGAACAUUGGAUGUCAGUAUUCAUUUUAUGAAUAUUGUAAGCAUUAUCCACAUGAUUUUGCCCAAAAUUAUUGUAAUUAUUAAUUUGAUCCGUAAGACGUCGGAUUUUUUUUAAUUAUAUUAAUUUUCUAGGCAUUUUGUUAGUAUUUUAAUUGUUAAAUCAUUAUAAUUAUUAAUUUGACCCGUAAGAUUUCCGAUCAAAUUUUUAAUUAUUUUGAAUUUUCUCUUAUGGUGUAAUGCUUAGGAUUAAAAUAAUCGUUAAUUUAACCCGUGAGACAACGGAUUAUUUUUUUGGUUAUUUUAAUUCUUAUUUGAUGAAUAUCUUGAUUGUUUAGACAUAAUUGCUUGUCUUGGAAAAACACUAAAAAAAAAAAAAUCAAAUCUUUCAUUGAAGUGUGCUGGUUUAGUAAAUUAGGAUUGCAUUUUUAGAUUGCACGUUUAAAUAAUUUUUGGACUAGAUUAGGGUCGGAUCUAAAUAAUUUUUUAGACAAGGCCUCAGAUAAUAUUUGCACAUUUUAGUAAUCUCACUUUAAAAAAAAAAAAUUUCUAAGAUAGAAUAGGAUUUAAGUCGAAUUAACCCCUAAAAAAUUUUAGAAAAUUAUUCACUUUAGACAUUUUAAAUAGGUUUUUAUUUAUUGCGAAUUUCAAAUAAAAAAUAAAAAUAUUAGGUGCAUGUUAAAUAGUUUGCAUAAUAGAAAUAGCUUGUUAGUAAAAUUAGGUCACGUAGUUAAAGUGCAUGUUUUAUGGUAAAGUUCUAAUUUCUAGAUAAAAGAAAACCAAAAAAAAAAAUUAUUUGCUUUAGUGUGUUGAAUUUCUUUGGUACAAUUCAUUUCAUUGAGUGUUUAAUAAUGAUUGAGCACCCGUGUGAUCACCCUUCUGCAUGAUAGAGAUUUAUAUUAAAAUAAAUCCAAUUUGCUUGUAAAAACAUUUUUGAAAAUAACAAGAAUGGUAUUGAAAGGGCAUUAGAGAAAUCUAGUGUAAUCAAGUCAUCGUAUCCAAAGUCUCUGAUUCAUAGGAGUAAAAUAAUUCUCCUAUUAUUUUACUUAUGUGUCUAAUUAACCUACCAUAAACUAAUUAGUGGCGACUCCUAAAUAAAAUCCAUUUGCAUGUUAAAAAUUUGAACCUAAGUCGCGAAUUGGUUUGGGCUUGGGAGAGCCCAAGCAAAGUUUAAAACUUGGUAGUCCAUUAGCCUAAAUUCUAGGUGGUGCAUUCGAAAUUUAGGUCGCGACACCUCCCUCCUGAGCCGCCCCCGUUGCAGCCGCCGCUGGAAGUACUCCCGCCGCUCGGCGUCUCCCCAUCGUUCCUCCUGCAAGGAUCGGCGGCGGCGACUGUGACAUCUCAAUUUUUCAACCCUAUUUUCUACUGAAUUAUUGGGCAUUUCAUUAACACGCAUAUAGGGCUAUUCUUAGAGUUGAUCAUUCUCGAGAUAACUAGACGAUCUUGGGAAGUUAUUAAGGGCUUUAAGGCAAAUAGACUUGAGAAUUCAACCAUGAAUCGGCUUCUUAACUGUGCUUAUCUUUAGAGGCCAUUAUGACACAAUUAAAAAUUAAUUUGAGAUUAGAGAUAGGUCUCUUCAACUGAGAUAUGUGGUCAAUCAUGGGUGACUCCACUAAAUUGGAAAAUUCUCAUCGAUCAACACUAAUAUGAUUUUACUGUCGUUUUGGUACCCUGUGUCCAUAAUUGAAUCCUCGAGAUUUUCAUGAUAAUCGAGAGUCGCCAUUGAGUCGAGUGGGUUCAUAGUGGCUCGAAGAAAAUUGACCACAGGUCAUUUGCCCUAAAAAUUUUUGAAAACUAUCUGGUAGUUUAGGUCACGCAAAAAAAGCACCGAAUGGAAAUUAACCGCUAAUUCAAGUCCGAUUUCAGAAAUUGAAGAUUCUGUCAUGUCGUAAUAAGUUUUAGUACCCACGACUCAGUCUAAGAGAAUUUUUGGAAAAAGUUAGUGUAUGAUCGUUUUGGGCAGAAAAUGCCGGGGAUUAAUUUUGGUUGCAAAAUUGGGAAGCAAGAUGGAUAUGUGGGUGAGGAAAAAUGCUAAGACGAUCAAUGAGGCAUCAAUUGAUUUUCCUAUGGCCAAUUGAGAUUAAAUCAAGUAAGUAGAGGAAUUCAAUUGAAGCCAAAUAAUGUCAAUUUCGUAGCUCCCCCUUCCCCCUAGCAUUUUGGACCCUUUGGCAUGUCCAAGAAGGUGCAUGUGUGGCUCAAUAUGAGCCAAGGACCAAUGCUUGGCUUAGGAUGGCUUAGGAAGAUAUUUUUGUGGAAAAAUUGGCAUAGGGUCCCUCCAUCUCUCUCUCCCUCAUCCUCUCCCUCACUCCACCGUCCAUCCCUCUCUCCUCUCCCUCUUGCUUCAUGCGACUGGCAACCAACAGAGGAAGAAGCAGCAGCCUUUGCCGCCUAGAUGCCAAGCCGUUGCCACCAUCCACCGUCGCACGCCAUCUCACCGCUCGCUGCCUCACACCUGGCCAUGCGCCCCGCCUGCCCUCUCUGCCUUCAGUCGCGCCAUUCAACCACCUCACUAUCCAAUAGACCCAUUUGGAGUUCGUUUUUGGCCAUUUCUUCGUCAAUAAACCUCCCUCUAGGCCUGGUUUGGCCUAUUCUUGCAUUCCCAAGCCUCACCGCACUAAGCCGAGCUAAUUUCCUUCCAUUUGCUGCCAAGAUCAGCAGCUUCUGUUGUGGGUUUCCAGCCACCAUGCAAGUUCGUUUUGAGGUGUUUGUGGGUCCCGAUCCCGAGGUCCGCUUUGGAGUUUAACGUCCCUUAUGACGUUCCUGACAUUUCAAUCCGAGCGGAUUGUUAAUCGGGUGAAUUUAGCUCACUAAUUCUUGCUUAGUUUGUUAAUUAUGCUUAAGGGUUGAUUAGUGUUAAUUAAGUAGGAUUAGGUGGUUAUAUUAGAGUUGAUUAGUGAUCAUUAAUUAAUUAUGAUGUAUGUUAGGCAUUUGACUAGUGUAAUUAGCUAGAUGAUAGCAUAUAUUAUUUAUUGAAUGCAUAUCGAGAUUUUUCCCAAUCUGUUCUGGCAUCUAAUUAGGCAUUACAGGCAUAAAUUGGAUUUUUAGUAUUUAUUUAUUAAUUUUCAAAAUUAAUUUAAUUAUUUAUUUAUUCUCUGGAAAUUAGAUAGAGAUAGCUGACGACUAGAAUUUUAUGCUGAUUGUCGUGGUGCAGUCCGUUUAUUUAUUGGAGCUCUACGUUGCGUUGAAUUGAAUUGAUUGUGGAUGGGCUAUAAAGUGGAGAAAAUUGUGAGAGUGAUCUGAUUAUACUCUCGGCUAAGACCAAUCGGGUACAAUGUUAUCGGGUAUGUUAAAGUUAAGGGAGAAUUAGGUAGCACGUGGCUUGGUGAUUAAAGUACAUCACCAUGGCGAAAAUGGCGUUUGAAAGAGAAUGCACGUGACUUAUGGACAUACGUGGUUUGGUGAUUCAGUAUAUCACUAUGGCGAAAACGGUGCCUGAAAGAGAAUGCACGUGACUUAUGAACAUACAUGGCUCGAUGAUUUAGUACAUCACCAUGGCGAAAAUAGUGCCUGAAAAAGAAUGCACGUAAAUGGUUUAUAUUGGCUCUAUGAUUAAAUAUAUCACCCUGGCGAAAAUGACGCUCGAGAGCAUGUACGUAAAUUGUCUAUAUUGGCUCUGUGAUUAAAUAUAUCACCUCGACGAAAACGACGCCCGAGAGCAUGUAUGUAAAUUGUCUAUAUUAGCUCUGUGAUUAAGUAUAUCACCCCGGUGAAAACGACGCCCAAGAGCAUGCACAUAAAGUGUUCAUUGUAUAUCACCUUGGUGAAAAUGGCGCCUUAGAAGAUAUGCAUAGUAAGGUGACUAGGUAUAUUAUACUGGGAAUUGUAUAAUAUAGAUGAAAAUGACAUUGAGAUGGUCCGAUUGACAUGUAAUCGACUAGGUCGAUUGAUUGAGAUAUCAAUCCAUGAUGUGAUUGUUUGGGUGACUAUUGAACUGUGCUAAUACGCAGGUAGAAUCUGAGGUCAAGGUAAGUCCUCUGACCCGUGUGUGCAUAGGCAACCCGGUUAGCGUAUUGGUUUACUAAUCGAGUUUUAGGGGGUAGAACUUGCUAAGAUGUGGUCUCAAUGGUUAUUGUAUAACCAUUUCAAUCCCCUAGAUGGCAGCACCUCCACCUCCUCGUCUUCCUAGACAUUUUGGUGUUCCAGUGGAAGUCACAGAGAUGGAGACCCACUUCCCGAUUCAUCCUCAUCCUGAAGGAUUGGAGUAUGUCCCGGUUCAGUCGACCAUCGGGAACAGAUGCCUUGAGGCUCCACAAGUAUCGGUCAUGGUAUCAUGAAUAUUACGAUGGGUGAAGAUUGGGCCCUAUGUUUGAAAAUGAUGUGCCUAUGUUUUUCUUGGAGGAGGCAUUCGGGAAGGGGACAGAUGAUCACAAGGAUGGGUUGGUAGUGGAGGCAAAGGACCCGAAGCUCGAGAGCAAGCCUGAGCCACCUGUGUACUUAGUAGCAAGAUCCAAUUGGAGCAAUGCCAUAAGAAGGGGAGAUAGUCGAGCAAUAGGAGGGACAGGAGGAGAAUCAGGAGUGGGAAUGGCCAGAGGUGGAACCUGUAGCAGAGGAAGCUGAUGACGAGCCAGAGGUGAAUUUUGAAGAAGAAGAGCUUGAGGACAAACCGGAAGAAGAAGAGGAGCUAGAAGAAAAUGAGUUUAGUGAAGAGGAGUCGAAGAAGGAUGACCUCGAGGAGGAUCUUGAGUACGACCUAGAUGGGAACGGAUGAGAACUGAGAUCCCAUCCUGUUUUGCAAACUUUGGGUUUUGAUUGGAUAUAUAGUAGAUCAAACUUGUGAAUAGUAUUGUAUUAUACUAUAGUUUGCCUUAUAUAAAAGUGUGGUUACGUGUUUUCACGUUGUGAAAAUUAUAGUAUACUUUUCUAUCCCAAUAUUUUAUUGUCUGGGGAUUAUUGUCCGCUUUCACAUGCGUAUUAAAAUAAAAGGGGUCGGUGAUGCGUCUUGGGACGUCGUUAUUAAUCGACCAGUUGAGGGAUGGGCACUCGAUUGAGGAUCGAGACCUGACAUCCCAUUUAAGUGGUAUCAGAGCGAAGUAAAAGAUUGGAGUGAUAAGGAGGAAUGGGUUUUGGGAUAGUAGUAAGAAAGGCCUUUAAAUUCAUGCCGGUGCAUGUUUGUGUUAACUGGAUGCUAGAAUUACUUCUUGUUUGAAUUGCUCUAUUUCUAAUUUGGUAUUAAAUUAGAAGCAGGUGUUAGUUGAUUAAAGCUACACCAUGAGCAAUUAGGAGCCUAGAACUCCUGUUAAAAAGGUCAAUAGGGUCGUGAAUCGGGGCAGAACGCCAACCAAGGUCGGCGCCCGAGGAGGCCGUGGUAAAGCGCCAGCUGUGGCUAGCGCUAGUGGAGAAGCAUCACCUCCUGUUGGUGCUAGGGUAGUAGCCCCUGAUCAUCCUAGGUUCGACGGGAUCAUGCGUGUACUUGAAGUCUUGGGUAACAGAAUGGAUCGGUAGGCUUAGAACUAAGCCGCUGUUGUUGAAGCCGCGGCUUAAGCCGCUGUCACCACUGCCGCCCUUGCUGUUGCACCUACCGCCGUACCUGUUGGAGGUCCGCUAGGAGUUGUGGUCACUAAAAAACCAAUCCACAAGCUGGUGGAGCAAUUCUUGAAAUUGCACCCACCUUAGUUCACCGGGACAGGAGAUCCCGAAGCUACUGGCUUAUGGGUUUAGAAACUCAAGAAAGCGUUUGCAUUGCUGAUGUGCAACGAGACGGAGAAAGUAAUUUUAGCAACUUAUCAGCUAGAGGGAGUUGCGAACACUUGUUGGAUGACUACUCGAGAAACGAUCUUUCCAGAAGGCGCUGUUCAAGAGUGGAACAUUUUCCUUGAAGUCUUCAAUGAUAAGUAUUUCUUUGAGACCACCAGGGAGGUGAAGAUGGCUGAAUUUCAACACCUUCGCCAAGGUUCCCUAACUGUUGAUGAGUAUGAGGCGAAGUUCACUGAACUUUCACGAUAUGCCCCUGAGCUAAUUGAGAACCCUGUAAACCGAGCGAGAAGGUUUAGGGAUGGAUUUAGACCGGACAUGAGAAGCACCUUAGUCCUUUUGGAUCUGAAGACUUACAACGAUCUAUAUCGAAGAGCCCAGAAAAUUGAGAAGGAUCUGAACGAGAGAGUUGCCUCAUCUGGAUUGAGGUUUAGCUCUCAUUGAGAAAGUAUUUGCCAGGGAAAAAGACCCAUGCCUGGAGGUAAAUCCCAUUCUCCACCCUUCAAGAGGAGUGGAUUUAGUAGGCCGAUGCCCAAUAGGAUUGAUAUAUGUCGCUCGUGUGGAAGGUGACACGGGUCAGCUCCAUGCCUUGCCAGGUCAAGAGCAUGUUUCGAAUGUGGCCAACAAGGUCACAUUGCAAGAAAUAUUCCGAGGAAGCAAAGAGGGCAACCUCAGUUACCACCGCCGUCACCGAUAAAAUAGACAAUAAGGUAUGCCCAUCAGAAUGUGCCAUAGGGAGGAUAGCUGAGACCUCCAGUCCAAGGCACAAUUUAUGCUAUCACACAAGGUCAGGCAGAAGCUGCGCCUGACGUGAUCACAGGUAUAGUAUUGUUCAACGACCAACUGGCUUAUGCUUUGUUUGACUAGGGAGCAACCCAUUCCUUUAUUGCCGAGCAGUAUGUUAAGUUGUUAGGGUUGAGUCCUGUAUUGCUGGAGUCGGUAGUUUGCAUAUCUACACUGUCGAAGGAUACAUUGAUUGCUGCUUUGAGUCGUUCUGGUUGCAAGUUAGUGAUUGGUGAGCGAAAGGGGAAAAUAGACUUGUUAGUCCUAACCAUGUAUGACUUUGAUUUGAUAAUCGGCAUGGACUGACUCACCAAGCAACGAGUUAUAAUGGAUUGCUAUUGUGAAGCGAUUUAGUUUGACCCGUUAGGGGGUAAGAGCUUCGAGUUUGUCGAGAAUCGAGGAGGACCCUCGAUUGUCAUGAUCUCGUCGCAAGAGACAACUUGUCUAUUAGAUGAGGGUUGUCAAGGUUACCUGGCAACUGUCGUGGAUACGACAGUUGUGGAGCUGAAGAUGGAAGACAUAGUUGUGGUACGAGAAUUUCCAGAUGUCUUUCCAAAAGAAUUGGCAAGUCUACCGCCAGAAAGAGAGAUAGAAUUUGUGAUUGAACUAGCACCCGAUACAGAGACAAUCUCUAAAGCUGCUUAUCGAAUGGCAUUAUUUGAAUUGAAGGAACUGAAGGUGCAGAUGCAAGAGUUACUAGAUAAAGGAUUUAUUCGUCCCAGUGCAUCACCUUAUGAAGCAUCAGUUCUGUUUGUAAAGAAAAAAGAUGGUUCGUUGCGCUUGUGCAUCGACUAUCCACUGCCAAGGAUUGAUGACUUUUUUUUAUCAACUUCAAGGAGCAUCGAUUUUCUCAAAGAUCGACCUGAGGACGAGAUAUCAUCAUCUGAGGAUUAGGAAGGAGGACUUUCCUAAGUUAGCAUUUCGUACUCGAUAUGGUCAUUAUGAGUUCACAGUGAUGUCACUUGGGUUGACGAAUGCUUCAACUGCUUUCAUGGAUUUAAUGAACAAGGUAUUCAAGGAGUACCUAGAUUAGUUUGUGAUCGUGUUCAUCGAUGAUAUUCUAGUUUAUUCAAGAAGUGGUGAAGAGCAUGAGUCAUUUGAGACUAGUGUUGUAGACACUAAGAGUUCAUCAGUUAUACGCUAAGUUUAGUAAGUGCGAGUUUUGGUUAACUCGUGUUGCUUUCUUAGGGCAAGUGAUUUCAAGUGAAGGAAUUUCAGUGGACCUGAACAAGAUUGAAGUUGUGAUCAACUGGCCAAGACCGACUAUAGUGACAGAAAUAAAAAAACUUUCUAGGUUUAGCAAGGUAUUAUAGACGGUUUGUGGAAGGAUUCUCAUCGUUAGUAUCGCCUCUGACAAAGCUCCUGAAGAAGGAAGAGAAGUUCGUGUGGGAUAGACAAGUGCAAAGAUAUUUUCCAAGAGCUUAAGGAAAAGCUGACUACUGCACCUGUGCUAACGAUUCCAUCUGAUCCUGGAUGAUUCGAGAUCUACAGUGAUGCAUCAUUUAAAGGAUUUGGUUGUGUGCUGAUGCAACAUGGUAGGGUUGUUUUCUACGCUUCUCGCCAGUUGAGACCUCAUGAACAGAAUUAUCUGACGCAUGACUUAGAACUCGUAGCGAUUAUCUUUGUGUUGAAGAUUUGGAGACACUACUUGUGCGAGGAAAAGUUUCAGAUCUUCACGGACCAUUAGAGUCUCAAGUACCUAUUCUCUCAUAACGAGUUGAACAUGAGACAGUGCUGAUGGAUGGAGUUGCUAAAGGACGACAACUGUGAUAUUAUGUAUCAUCCAGGAAAGGCGAAUAAGGUCGCGAAUGCUUUGAGUUGAAAGUCUUUAAUUGCUCAUAUACUGAUUAAGGAGUGGAACUUAAUCGAGAGAGCUCGAGAUUCGGUAUUCAAACUUGGCUCGUUAAUGACCCAUUUAACUAAAAAUGGGCCCAUAAAGGGGUCAAUGACCCAUUUUGACAACUCUACCCAUUUUUAGUUAAAUGGGUCGUUAAUGGGUCAAGCUUUAUUUUCCAAAGCGCCAACAAUGGGUUUUAAAAAUAAAGAGGCUGAGAUAAAUGGUUCUUAAAUGGGUUUGCUCUCAAACUCAUUUAUCAACCCAUUAAAAAUGAACCUAUUUACUCUCCCUCCUUGUACUACAAGUCGGGACUUGAGAGGCCGAAAGCUCGCUGGCGACUUCCUCUAUUUUUUUUCCGAGCAUUUCGACUUCUACGUUUCUUCUCCUCCUUCUCCUUCCGUAAUCAACUACCAUUGCCACUGACGUCACCGCCGUCUUUACCAUCCGCAGAAAGCGAUUCCGAUGUGAUCAAAUCGAUCCAUCGACCCGAGGCACGAAACAAACAAAGAAACCUCAAAUCCUACGACAAACCUCGAGCCUCUUCAUGGAACAAUCCCAUAGCAGGAGCGCGAACAGGAGCAGGUUCGAGCACAUGUGUGGGGACAAAGCCUGUUCACCGUGAUGCUCUAGCGAGAAAGGCGAGUGAUAAAAGAACAAGUACCAUGUGAAUUCCAGUUUUCAAUUCUCUUGCAGUAUCCCUUGUUGCAAUUAGUAGUUCAUCAGUGCAAUUCAUAAUUUGCCUGAUUCCAAGCCAUAUUCUGAUCCAUCCAUCAGCAUUAUCAUGAUGCUUCUCGUAGAGCUCCUUGUGUGACUGCAUCCUUUAAGCCAAUUGCCAUGAGUAAAUUGUCAACAACAACUAUGACUCAAUUUUGAAUGCAGUUGAAACUAGAGCUAGUCAUGUGAGGAAAAAGCGAAGCCUAUUUUGCAGUUUCAUACAAAUAUAACUGUCGCAACCAAAUUUUCAAGUGUGAACCACCUAGGGUUUGGCUAAUGGAUUGUUAAACCUAGACUUAACUCGGGCUCUCCCAAGCCCAUACCAAUUCACGACUUUAGGUUCAAGUUCUUAACAUGCAAAUGAUUUUCAAUCAGGAGUCGCCACUAAUCUAUUUUUGGUAGGUCGAUUAGAAACCCAAGUAAAGUAACGGAGAUUUACUUUACUCCUAUGAACCAGAGAUUUGGGUACGGGGACUUGGUUACGCUAGAUUUCUCUAACGCCCUUUCGGUACCAUUUCUUUUUAUUUUCAAAAAUGUUUUUGCAGGCACCUUAAAUCAAUUUUAAUUUACUUUCCUAACAUGUGAGGUGAUCACACAGAUGCGCAAACCACCAAUUUAACACCCAAGAAAGCAAAUAAAUAAAAUGCAGGACUUACCUUAUAGCAACGAAAGCAUCUGCGUUGUUAGAUCAGAAUUCAUAUAAGCAAUCAUAUAUAUAAUUUCUAAUUAACAAGCAAUUACUCAAUUUUUGUUUCACUUUUUUUAAACGAGAACAUAAUCCAUAUGCAAUGCAAUGCUUCUAAUCUAAUAUGAAAUAAUAUGGCAUGACAAUACGUCCUAAACUAUAUGAAUGAGUAAAAAAAACUAAUGAUUUCUUAAUGAACAUGCAACAAUUAGAUAUGCAAACUAAAUUAGCCAAAAUGACCUAAUUCUAAUGACGAGCAAUUUAAUUAGAAAUGAACCUAAUAACAAUCACUAAAAUGACGUGCAUUUCAUGGACCUAAUUCUAUAUGACGUGCACAUGAUUUUUCUAUUCUAAAAAAUGCAAUCUAUCCUAGAAAUUGCAACUAAUUUAUCCUAAGACAAAUUUUAUGAAAUUAUAAAUUUAAGAAAAAAAAAUGCAAAAAUGAGCUAGCUAGACUAAGAUUCUAUCUAAUUUAAACUAGGGAUUAAGUCAUAUUAAAUCCUAAUUUAAACUAAGACAUUAUCUAAAUCUAAAAUGCAAUUUAUCUAAAAAGAUGAUCUAAAUUUAAAAUGAAACAUGCAAUUAUAAUCUAAUAUGUACAAUGAUUUCUUUUGUGUUUUUCUUUAUGAAAUUCGAAAUUAAAACUAACACAUAAUUAAACAUGCAAUUCAAAUAAAUAAAAAAACUAACAACCUAAAUGAAUGCACUUUUUUGUUUCCUUUUUCAUGAUUGAAAAUAAAACCCCUAUUCUAAACAUGCAAAGAUAAUUAAAAACAAACCUAAACCUAAUUCAAUUUUUUUUUGGAUUUCCUUUUCCUUUUACGAAAAUAAAACUGACUAAAACACCACGACAUCAAAUCAAGCAAGAUAAUGUUGAUAUCUAAAAAUUGGCGAACCAUAUCUCGCGCAUGAGAUCGGGUUGACCAAUUUUAAAAAUAAAUCGCGAAUCAAAUUUCGGGCUUGAGAUUGGAUUGUCAAUUUUUGCAAGGGAUUGCGAGUCGGAUUUCGAGCGCGAAAAUCGAACUGUCAAUCCCUAAUUUAAAAGGCUCGUCGAAUUGUGAAUAUCAGCCAAGGAUUUCAUCAAGAAUACUUCGGAUUGGGAAACAAAACGAAUUAAUCAAGAUCCUUACCUAAUUCACAAUAUUCCAAAUUAGAACGCGUUGGAUGGUGGCUGAAUAGGACCACGAACCACGGGACAAUGGCAAUUUUGAUGGAACCCGUAACCUUCAAGGAGACCGUCGAUGGAUUCCGGCUCCAAGGAACUUUGUACUUCUCAACAAGGCCACAGAAAUCUGCAAGUAAUCCAAAUUGGACCCAACGAAUUUUGUUGAUUUCGUUGGAUCCAACGAAGAGGAAAGCAAAACAGCAAUGUAUUGCCGAGUAAUACAUGGACCCACUACAAUAAAAAUACAAUAUAACACGGUCAAUCCCCUCUCAGAAUUGACUGUUGUCUUUUUAUUGGGGAUGUCUACGUUGGGCACAUCGGGAAGAUCUGCGAAAGCAAAGUCAAACUCGACCAGGGGCUGAUUCAAAACUGGUCGAGUAUUAAGGGGCCUCGGCAUGGCGGCGCCUUGUGAGAUUGGCUCCAGCAGGUGACUCUCGGGUCGGCGCACGAUGAGAGACUCGUGCGGUGAUGGUGUCAAUGAGUGGCGUGGCCAGCUCGGCGAAGUGUCUACAACUGCGAUGAGUAAUUGGCAAUAAGAACAAGACCACACUGUAAGCGUUCUCAAACACCGGGGAAUCUGCACACGGGAAAUUUCUGCAUUAGACGGGUGUAAAAGGACAAUUGAAAGAGUUAUAUGUGUGUUGCUUGAGGUGGCAUCAUCAUCAAUGAGAAGCUGCAACACGUCCGGAUGUGCAGGAGACACCAAGGAUAACACCAGGGACGCAGUGAUGAGAUAAGCACGCAGGAGGAACGUGGGAAGUUGAACUGGGAAUCAACGUCGUUGGUGCAAGGCUCGGUUAGAUUCAGAGAAAGUCGUCGUUGGAGGGACUCGGAAGGAAGCAGCAAUGGCACCAUCGUCAUGUGGGGUUCGCUAGGUUGAAGCGAUGAACACCGGAACAAGGAGGCGCGAUCCCAGCAGUAGGGACUCACCGCAGCAGGCGAGAGUCAUAGGAUCUUCACGUCUCUUACUCUUUGAGCGUUCACUGCGCUCUCUCUCUCACUCUAUGAAUGUGUGGCCGUGUAUUCAAUGUAUUGUGUGGCCCCCCUAAACCCUAUGUAUUUUACCUAUUUAUAGAGCAUGGAUUAGGGUUUUUAAAUUUUCCAAAUUCAUAUCCACGAAGAUUUCUUUUCGACACGCAAUAUUUAUUUUUUCCAAACGCAAUAUUUGCUUUUGUAUUGAAAUCUCAUAGUGAUAAAUCUGUAAAAUCUCUCCGAGGAUAUGGGUUUGGGCCGAUUUACUUUCUUCGUGGGCUUAGCCCGACUUAUCAAUUCGAACCCAUCCGCCACCGGUCCAACAACUAAAUGCAAAAAAUGCAAAUGUACAAUAAAUGCACCUAAAUAUAUAUGCUAUGCAAUUAAUAUUUUUCCAAGGACAAAGUUAACCCAUAAUUUUCUAUGCAAUAAAUGACUAAUCGGGUCGCCAAAAUUUAGGUGUCAACAAUAACUAAAACGAGAAAAUUUUCUACUCAACUCAAUGGCAAUAUCUGUCCAGACAAAUAACGAGAUUUGUGAUAUCUAUAGCUACUAGAGUCCAAGGAGACAUUGCGAGGCAUCUAGAUUCAAUCCUGCAGAAAAGGCAAUGACCAAAGCAGAAGGAUAUAGAAAAGAAAUCAUGUCCUCUAUACUGUGAUAUAAUCUCUGUGAUUCUAUGAAUUAUGGAAAGCAGGAGUUUCCGCAGUAAGUAAAUCAAAACAGAACUCGGGCACUACUACUAUUUCCCAAGUCAAAGCUCUCUAUUAUUUUUUUAAGGCUUGUUCAAUAAAUCAAUAGUUUACAGUUUAAAAAUUUACUUGUUUCAUCACGGCUGCUGAAUAUCAUUACAAAAACAACUGCUGAGGACAACAAUACUGUACAGCAACUAAGCCUCUAUCCAUGUCCAUUUAGUACUUCUCAGGGACACUAGGCAUGUCCUUUUAGGACUCUCUAUACAAGUUUGAUAUCUGCCUCUAUGGUCACAUUCUUCAAGGAGUCCAUUGUUGAUUUAAACCUUCUAUCUAUCUUCUGUUUAAUGAAUGCAUUGUCCGUGCAUGUAUGCCAAAAAAAACCAAAAACUACCAUCGUCAAAGCCAAAACCACAGCUAUAGCGUUGAACUGUCGCGCUGAACUACUACUGUUAAGUCCAAUUUAGCCCCAAAAAACACUUCUUUGUCUAGACAGACACUUCCUUAACGCAUUACUUAUUGAUAGCACUCGUUCAGUUAAGCAACUUGCACAUAAUCCUCGGCAGUUCGAACAGCCCAAGAUGCCGGCAAGCCCUCACCAGAGUCCAUGACGGACUGAGCCAAGCACGCGCGCAAGCCCAUCGAUUGCACCACUCUAGCCAUCCCAGGAACGUGCUAUCCUCCUGCCUCAGCAAAGCAAGUGUCCCGCUCCAUCAAAUCAACACAAUAUCAUGUUGGAAAAAUAUGGCUUAGAAUUAGGUAGAGCAAUGAAGCCGGAUAUUUAGAGUAAUCAAGUUGAAUUUUAAGGCGUGCUAUCACUUUUUUUAAGGAUUUAUUUGCUCCACAAAGUUGCUAAUGGUCACCGACAAAUUUUCUCCAUGAUACAACAAAGUUUCAAAUAAGAAUACUAGAUAGUAAUUCUAGUAUUUCUCCAGGAUCUCUCAUAGGAAACAAUUGGAAACAAUAGCUUUAGUUUCUUUAGAAAGAAAACAAAAAAAUGAAAGAAGAUUUAUGUUUGAUAUCAAAACAAACGCACUUAUCUUUGUCUUUUGAAUAGAGACAACCCUUCCAAAGUUACAAAAGAACAAAUGCAACUUUUCGUGAACAAGUACGUCUUUUACGUUGAAAAAACAUAAAAAUUCGAAAUUAAAUAAAUAACAAAUAAAAAUAAUCGUAACAUUUCGUAAACAAUCGCACUGUUUCAAUAAGACUUUAUAAUUAAUUUUUAUAGAAAUAAAUCCGAAUUUUCAAUAAAUAAAAAUAAUGAUCAUUGGUUAGUGCCAAAUCUCGUCCACGUUGCACUCACAUCUUUUCGAUGUGGGACAAGGCACCUUUUCAUUUGUUUUAUAAACAAACUACAACACAUCUUGAUCGCAAUUCCAGAAAACCGCAACAAAACACUGGAGUCGAAAAAUCCCGCAAAGUCCGGCGCGCUUACACCGGAGUGAAUGAGCUCGAUUCCGCAGAGCAGGGUGGAGACGUAGGAGUCCUCCUCGGUCAUACUGGCCUCGUAAGGCCAUAUCCGGUCGUGCAGCCAGGUCACCAGAUCGACGUCGUCGGCUAUCCCGCGCGCCAGCUGCUGAGACGUGUGCACGUGCGUGUUGACAAAGCCUGGUUCACUAAUGAAUCGGAGUCAGAACUGCUUUCUGAGUACCGAAUCGAAAGUACGCAGAGGGAGAGGACUUGGGAGUAGAAUUUGGCCGCGGAGGUCGACAACUUCGCCGGCGACGCCACGGAACCGGCGGAGGAGGUCGGGCAAGUGGCCGACGGCCUUGAUCCUGUCGCGCUCGAUGAUGACGGCACAGUCGCCGUAGACGAGGCUCUCGGAGUCCAUGGUGACGACGGUGGCGUUGUGGAGGAGCAGGAUCGGCAAGCCUCCGGGAGCUUCCAUGUUCGAUUGUCGGUCUGGAGCUUUGAGGUCGCUUUUGCUGUGCUGAGCAGCCAGAAGAGGGAGCACGACACUGCCUGGUGCUGGAUUGGAUAUUUUUAAGUUGAAAAAGCAGACCGCGCUCGCUGUCGUCGCACGACUCAGCUUUUCAUGUAGAAAUCGAAACUCGACCCACAAAAAAUAAAAAUAAAAGGAGAGAGAAAUGAUAAUGCGAUUGCCUUUAAUCUAUUACAAAAAUAAUAAUUUAUACUAUAUCACAAAGAAUUAAAUAAUAAAUAAAUAUAAAUUAUUAUAAGACUUACUUCUUUAAGGAUUUGUGACUUAUAAUAAGUUAUUAUUAACCGUUAUGCUAACAAAGCCCUAAAAAACAGACGUAUUUCUCAUUUUCUAAGAAAUUAAUGAACCAUCAUUUCUCUUUAUCGAGAAGCUUUGCUAGUAGCUGGUUGUGAGUCAUAAAUUCUUGAAGAAAUUGACCCUAUAAAAAUUUCUAAUUAUUUAUUAUUUAUUUUUUUGUCCAAAAUAUAUUGCCAUUUGCCUAGUAAAUUAAAGACCGUCAUGUAAUUCUUUCUUUUUCCAAAAUUAUAAUCUUAAAGAGCAAUGGAACAAAAUGUGCACUUUUUUUUAAUUCCAUUUAAAUGGACCUCAGCGGUUUCAAUUGGUGGAAGGGUCAUAACAAUUGCCACAAACCAAAAAAUCUCCUUUCAUUGCCUUUUUCAAAUGCUGUAGUUCAGAAACUCACUUGAGUCGAGAAUUCUUAGUGUUUGCACUUUGAAAUUCCAUAUAACUAACAGCAUCAAAUGAAGCUUGACCUAUGAAAUAUCUUACUGAUCUCAUAGACUAAUUAGGAGUUAGGGCACAAACACGAGCUGGAUCCCAUAAUAAGGACAACCAAAACUUGCAAUUGUUUUGAAGCUUGAUGGUGCGUAGAGCCAAAUUUUUUUAAAGAAUUUAUAGCUCCAAUAAGUUAUUAUUUUUAUAAUAACAAAAAAAACGUUAUGCUAGCAAAGCCCUAAAAAAGAGGUGUUUCUUGUUUUCUAAAAAAAUAAUGACAAUUUUUUCAUCGCCAUCAUUUCUCUUUACCAAGAAGCUUUGCUAGUACCUGGUUGUAAGCCAUAAAUUCUUAAAGAAAUUGAUCCCGCAAUAAUUCUAAUUAUUUAUUAUUUAAUGUUGAUACUUAAAUUUUAGCUUCACAUUUAGUCAUUUAUUGCAUAAGAAAAUUAUGGAUCCAAACUGAUCUCUAAAAAUAUAAAUAUCAAUUUUUACUUUGCAUGUUUAGUUCUUGUAAAGCAUGUCCGCAUCCAAUAAAUUUCAUAUGAGCUAGCGUUAAUAUGCUUGAACUCAAGAAGCCAUGAACAUGCUUUAAGUUGGCACACGGAUUAACAAAUCCUCAGAAUGUGCUCGAUUAUCAAUUUGCGCACAUGAGAAUUUGAAACUUGAGGGUCACGAUUUCCGUAAAGAUGAGGGAAGUCAAUCAAUUAGAGAAAUCUUCUCUUCAGUAAAUCUUCCCUCUAGUAAAUUUUGGCCAGAUAAGUGGAGAUCUUUUUCCAAGAAUACCAGAAUGCACAAGAGGAAACAAAUAUGUUGGCUGCGAAAUCACGGGAAUUUUGUCUGACCGUAAGUUGAGGGAAAUGAAUUAGAAAAAGGAAAAGAUUGACAGAAUUUUCAUGGAAUAUUCUCCACGGCUUUGGCCAAGAUAUCCCGCGUCCAAAAGCUCAACUCCACCAGGUCUCACGAAUCAUCUUUCGCAUAAUAAGAGGAGUCGAUCUUGGCAAAUCAUCAUAAAAGCAAUCUCACUUUUUUAGCUACUGAUCAUGGAAAGAUCCGGAGCUCGGAGUGACGAGGACGGACUGAAUCCUCGUUCCUUCGUAGACACCUCUGGAUUGCUUGGGAUUCUUUCUGAAAAAUUGAAAUUAUGAGGAGAAUCAAUGGGAUUUGUCCAUCAACAUGGAAAGAAUGGACGCUCACUCGAAUACAGGGCGUUCAAGCGCAAGGUAUAUGAAAAGAUUGAGCGGGGAGGAAAUUAAAGGAAAGAAUAAAAAAAUAAUUCUUGUUGUGAAAUCGUAAAUGAUAGUGAGUGAAUCUGGAUACGUUCGAGGCAAUAUCAGUGAAUCAGAAAAGGAAAAGAUUGUGAAAGAAGGUGAGGGACGCGUACUUGAGAGAUUUACGGUGACAAAUCAGGGCUAAGAUUUGGCAAUCCCCACGAUCAAAGGAGCACGGGUUCUGACUUUCCAAUGCUGAUGUGGAGAGAUUGAUUUUGUGGUACGCUACCUACUAGUCCUCCACUUGUCAUGCGAGCACUAUACAUUUAAUACGCAGAUUCUCUCUCUCUCUCUCUCUCUCUCUCUCUCUCUCUCUCUCCUGUGCUUAGUGGGAUGCAACAUUGUGUGUGUGUGUGUAUAAAGCCGAGCCAUCCCUUGCAUGAUUUUCAUCGAAAGUUAUGGCCUUCUUUGAUCACCACCAUUUCUGGACCUUGACUUUCGGUAUCCUAGGUAAAGAAGGAAGAAACCAGAAGCUGUUCGCCCUUCAUCUCCAUUUGCUUCUUCUUCUUCGCAAUAAUGCUGCUUGCUUGCGCCAUUUCCUUUCAUCCCGCUUUCCUCCAUCCAUCUUCAUACGGUCUACAUGCAUUUAUUUUUUCCGCUUGAUGAAUUGUUCGUAUUUAGUAUCUUUAGCAUGAUGGUUAGCAGGUCAUUCUCUUCUUUUCUUCUUCUUUUCGUUUGGCAACUCUUUCUUCCAAAACCUCAUUCUUUCUCUUUCUAUCAAUUGCAAAACACACGUAAAGCAAAAACAAAAAUCACAAAGAAAAUGAGAAAUUUUUUCCCGGUGCACUAAUCUUGACACCACUCUUCACAUAGUGUUGUUCUCUCUUUUGAUGAUACAAACCCCGCUCAAAAUCAAACCUCCGGCAACCCUUUCAGUCUCUUGGACUUUUGCCAACUUUUUCACAACCCUUUUGGUCAUUUCCUCCAAUGAUUUUUGUUUUCACUCUAGCACACUUUUAGAAUUAGCUUUCAAUAUUGAAGCCGGUACCCUAGCGUCUGUGGUAAAUAGGUUCGUCUUGAAGUUGUGGCAACUAACGUAGGAUUUAUAUUGUCUCGAGUCGGUUUGCAUUUCGUGGGAAUUCAUUCUUUUCAUCUUUUGGCAUAUUGUGUAUACAAAGGUUAAACAGUGACAUGUAACAUGAUUUAGUUCGAGUUCUGUUCAACCAUGCCGUAUGUGCUCAACACUUAGAUUAGUAAAUGACUGAGGUUGUUUUUCUUCUUCUUUAAUUUUAACCCUAGCAAAAAGAGCAUUUUCAUCUGCACCGCGCUUGCACAGAAUAAUCUAACAUUUGUGCUUUUCCUUUGCAUUCGAUGAUAGGAAACAUUGUCUCGUUCUUCGUCUUCUUGGCUCCAGCGUAAGUAAUCAUGUUUUUCUUUGAAGUUCUUUUCCUUCACUUCUUAUUUUAUUUGAUCCCGAUACAAUAACUAUGAUUCUUUUUCUCUUCUCAUGUUGCAGGCUGACAUUUUACAGAAUCUAUAGGAACAAAUCGACCGAGGAAUUCCAAUCGAUACCAUAUUUGGUCGCUCUAUUCAACUCCAUGCUCUGGCUUUACUAUGCAUUCCUCAAAGGACACUCCUUCCUUCUCAUCACCAUUAACUACUUCGGAUGCGUCAUAGAGAUUGUGUACAUUGCCAUCUACAUUGCUUAUGCGCCGAGAGCUGCCAGGAUACGUAUUGAUCAUUAGACGGUAUGAGCGUUGUAUUGUCUAAUGAUCAAUACGUACCCUGGCAUCUCUCGGCGCAUAAGUCAUGUAGAUGGCGAUGUACACCAUCUAUAUGAUGCAUCCAAAGGAGUUAAUGGUGAUGAGAAGGACGGAGUGUCCUUUGAGGUAUGCGUAGUAAAGCCAGAGCACGGAGCUGAAUAGAGGGACCAAAGACGGUAUCAAUUGGAAUUCCUUGAUCGAUUUGUUCCUGUAAAUUCUGCAAAAUGUUGGCCUACAACAGGAGAAUAGAAAAAGAAUCAGUAGUUAUUGUAUCGGGAUCAAAUAAUAUAAGACUAUCUUCAUUCUAGUGAAGGAAAAUAACUUCAAAGAAAAACAUGAUUACUUACACUAGAGCCAAGAAGAUGAAGAACGCGCCCCGGGUGAGAGUGGUGAUUGGUGCGCGAAGCAUUGUUAUGUUACUUCCCCACCGCAAAGCUGUCCCUCGUGUAAUGCUUCGUUCACGUGACUUCUCCGAAUUUUACAUUUUCGUUCCUUGCUGACUCCUCCCCGCACUCAAAAACCCUGAACCAUUACCCCUCUGGGGCGGCGGCGGCCUGCGUAAUGCUUCGUUCACGUAACUUCUCCAAAAUUUUAGGAGCUCUAGAGGGUUUCGUAAGUGCGCAUUCAUGGCAUCUCCCCGCUCUGGCCUUUUUGUUCUUGAAGCCUCGUGCACGUGCGCCUUGCGGUUGCGCGAGGCAUGUUAGGACAAGAAGGGUGAUGACCAUGUACAGAACAAACUUGCAUCAUUUGCAAUGUCCCUGUGAUGAGCAAAGGAGCAAGAAACAUUUGAAACCAAUGGGAGUUGCACUACCAACCGCGCGGCAAUUCAGUAGAUCAGAUGCUGCUUAAAACUAGAGUUAGAAUAUGCAGCCAAAUCCUGCUCAGAAUAGACUUACAAGAUUCGGCACAAGCAUUACAAGACAAUCCCCCUCUUCCUUUGGAUUCUCUUAUCUAUAAUGCUGUUCUAGCAAUGAUGUACACCCAACUCCCUCUUCCUCCAAAUUUCAAGAAAGUAUAAACAGAGAAUGGAGAGAUUAGACCCGAAAAGAGCCGAGUUAGAGUAGCAGGGACCAAGUCCUCCUAAUUCAACCACAAUCUCUCCGCUCAUUUCCCUUCGACAAAAUGGAAUAUGCACAACACGACGUGAAAGGAAUGAAAGCGUGCAAGUCAGUUAUGUGCAGGCUUUGACGUCCUGGUUUUGUUUCAUAGAUGUUGAUGAUGUUGAAGAAGAUAUAGUUGAUGACUUAUCGAGCCCUCUCGAACUUUAUCCUAAUUUUCCACUAUCAAAUGAUGGAUUUGACCAGCCAUCUUCAUGUUCGGGGCGACUUACUGCAGCGGUUUCUAUGAUGAAGAGUUUUGAAGUCCAUUCUUUGUCAACCCCUCUCGAGUUGUUAGUCUCUGCAACAAGGUUUUCAAGAAGCGAGAGUCCUGGUUGGUGAUUCCAGUGCUUUUUGUGGAAGGGCCUAUUCUUCCCUGUUAUUGUUAUAUUUUAGCUGAUCGUUAUGACUUAUGCCUUCUCGUUCUUCCUCAGGCAAAAGCUUGCAGUGCUCAUCUGGCAGCAUUCAACCAUCAAAACUCCUCUCCUUUGCGAAAUCUCAGGUAAUACAUUCCUUCUGAUCGUGUCCUAGUCACUAAUACGAUCAGUUAGUCAAGGAAAACGUGACAAUUCGAUGUUUGUGCUCGGAAAAUCUCGAUUUCUUUCCUUAGCUUCAAGAUACAAUGGAAUAAUAUUUUUGCCAUGACUAACAAACAUAUGCAGGUGGACUAUAUCCUGGGAGACAACCCCAGAGCCAUGAGCUACAUGGUCGGGUACGGGAACAACUACCCAAGGCAGGUCCAUCACUAGGCGACUUCCAUCGUGUCCAUCAAGGAGGAUUCGUCCUUCGUCAGCUGCUGAGCUGGUUAUGCCGCCUGGUUUAGCCGGAAAGCAAGCGAACCCAAUCUCCUCACUAGUUCUAUCAUCAGUGGCCCCGAUACAUAUGAUAACUUUGCUGUCAAAGAGACAAUUACAAGCAAAUGGAGCCUGCUACUACAACAACGCUCCACUCCUCGGCAUAUUAGCCUGGUUGAGUGGUGGUCACGGCAGUUACAGUCAACUCCUUCCAGGUAUUUGAUCUUUGAAAUGUGUUGUUAUUUUAGACAAAAGCAAUGUCUUGACAUAUUUCGGCAUCUGAUGGAUGGGUUUCUAUUCAAUGCAGUGGUUGUUCCUGCGCCGAAAGCAGCCAUGGCCAAGCCAAGUCUAGCUCCUGGUACAAUUUCCUCCGCCUUCCCUUUUUUCUUUGAUUAAUUCUGUGAUUCCAUUACCUCACUCAUCUGCUUUUGCCUUUUGAUUGCAGUAACAACUUCCAACAUGCUGUCCAUCGAGCAGAAGCUAACGGCUUCAUGGACUGCCAACAGGAGAACUUACCACAGAUGCUAAACAGUGGUGACCAACAAAUCGGACAAGAUGCUGAAAUAUGUCAACCUGUCGAUCUCCAAGCUCUACGGUCCUCUGUGGGGACUAAC